rnacentral:pre_miRNA from 1 species
AUAACAUUCGGACCGAUGGUCUACCGAGCAAUAUUAUCCGUUCCGGUUGAAGAUCUUCCCUUUGUCAA